rnacentral:miRNA from 1 species
AGGAGGUAGGAUCACUUGAGCCUGGGAGGUGGAGGUUGCAGUGAGCUGAGAUCAUGCCACUGCACUCCAGCCUGGGUGAUAGAGCCAGACAUUGUCUC